rnacentral:rRNA from 2 species
GUCGAGCGAACAGAUAAGGAGCUUGCUCCUUUGACGUUAGCGGCGGACGGGUGAGUAACACGUGGAUAACCUACCUAUAAGACUGGGAUAACUUCGGGAAACCGGAGCUAAUACCGGAUAACAUAUUGAACCGCAUGGUUCAAUAGUGAAAGGCGGCUUUGCUGUCACUUAUAGAUGGAUCCGCGCCGUAUUAGCUAGUUGGUAAGGUAACGGCUUACCAAGGCAACGAUACGUAGCCGACCUGAGAGGGUGAUCGGCCACACUGGAACUGAGACACGGUCCAGACUCCUACGGGAGGCAGCAGUAGGGAAUCUUCCGCAAUGGGCGAAAGCUUGACGGAGCAACGCCGCGUGAGUGAUGAAUGUCUUCGGAUCGUAAAACUCUGUUAUCAAGGAAGAACAAAUGUGUAAGUAACUGUGCCCAUCUUGACUGUACCUGAUCAGAAAGCCACGGCUAACUACGUGCCAGCAGCCGCGGUAAUACGUAGGUGGCAAGCGUUAUCCGGAAUUAUUGGGCGUAAAGCGCGCGUAGCCGUUUUUUUAAGUCUGAUGUGAAAGCCCACGCUUCAACCGG